GUAUUUUGACCGUGCAAAGGUAGCGCAAUCACUUGUCUUUUAAAUGAAGACCUGUAUGAAUGGUGAAACGAGGGCUUAACUGUCUCCCCCUUCUAGUCAAUGAAAUUGAUCUACCCGUGCAGAAGCGGGUAUAACAAUACAAGACGAGAAGACCCUUUGGAGCUUAAGAUAAAAAACCAACUAUGUCAAAAGUCCUAAAAAAGACUAAACCAAAUAGUACUGGUCCUAAUCUUCGGUUGGGGCGACUACGGGAGAAAACAAAGCUCCCAUGCGGAUUGGGGUAAUUCCCUAAAACUAAGAGAGACAUCUCUAAGACGCAGAACAUCUGACCAUAAAGAUCCGGCUACAUGCCGACCAACGGACCAAGUUACCCUAGGGAUAACAGCGCAAUCCCCUUCCAGAGUCCAUAUCGACAAGGGGGUUUACGACCUCGAUGUUGGAUCAGGACAUCCU
rnacentral:rRNA from 1 species